CCCUUAGAUGUUCUGGGCUGCACGCGCGCUACACUGAUGCAUGCAACGAGUUUUCGACCUUGCCUGAAAAGGUUGGGUAAUCUGUUUAACAUGUGUCGUGAUGGGGAUAGACCAUUGCAAUUAUUGAUCUUCAACGAGGGAUUCCUAGUAAGCGCGAGUCAUCAGCUCGUGCUGAUUAUGUCCCUGCCCUUUGUACACACCGCCCGUCGCUCCUACCGAUUGAAUGGUUUAGUGAGGACUCCUGAUUGGCGCCGCCGCCCCGGCAACGGAGCAGCGGACUGCCGAAAAGUUGUUCAAACUUGAUCAUUUAGAGGAAGUAAAAGUCGUAACA
rnacentral:rRNA from 1 species